GGACUUAAAAAAAAAAAAUAAAAUGGAGAAUUCAAGGCUGUAGAAAUGUGGUUAGCUUGCUAUAAUUUUGAGGUUUUGGUUAAAGAGGAAUGCUAGGAUAUCUAGUGGUCAAGUUCGAACUUACCAAAAGUUCAUAGAAAAAGAUCCCAAAAAACAAUCUUGUCGUGGGAUUACUAUUAAAGAGACAAAAUAGACACUAAAAGUACUCCAACAAGAUGUUCCGAUCAGUGUUAUUAAAGGCAACAAGCGAGAUGCGAGGCAAGGCUAGCUCACCUCACCUAAGCGAGGCACACCCCAAUUCCAAGAGGUGAGGCGAGGCGAGGAGCAUAGUUGUUAGGCACAAGGUGCUCCAGGAUAUGGGGACAGCGCCUCAAAACCCAUAAGGUGAGCAACCUCCUUAAGGUGCACCUGAGCGAGCCUAGGCACACGAGGCGCCAAAGCAACCAGCCCAUCCAUGGCAAAAAAAAACUCAAGAAGAAAUUGGGCAUGCCCAGAGAAACCAACCCAUCCAUGGCGGACAACACUUAAAAAAAAGAAGAAGAAGAUAUACGCCUCUACUCCAC
rnacentral:misc_RNA from 1 species